rnacentral:rRNA from 1 species
UUAAGCGACUAAGCGUACACGGUGGAUGCCCUGGCAGUCAGAGGCGAUGAAGGACGUGCUAAUCUGCGAAAAGCGUCGGUAAGGUGAUAUGAACCGUUAUAACCGGCGAUGUCCGAAUGGGGAAACCCAGUGCAAUUCGUUGCACUAUCGUUAACUGAAUACAUAGGUUAACGAGGCGAACCGGGGGAACUGAAACAUCUAAGUACCCCGAGGAAAAGAAAUCAACCGAGAUUCCCCCAGUAGCGGCGAGCGAACGGGGAGCAGCCCAGAGUCUGAAUCAGCUUGUGUGUUAGUGGAACGGUCUGGAAAGUCCGACGGUACAGGGUGAUAGUCCCGUACACCAAAAUGCACAGGUUGUGAACUCGAAGAGUAGGGCGGGACACGUGGUAUCCUGUCUGAAUAUGGGGGGACCAUCCUCCAAGGCUAAAUACUCCUGACUGACCGAUAGUGAACCAGUACCGUGAGGGAAAGGCGAAAAGAACCCCGGCGAGGGGAGUGAAAAAGAACCUGAAACCGUGUACGUACAAGCAGUGGGAGCACCUUCGGGUGUGACUGCGUACCUUUUGUAUAAUGGGUCAGCGACUUAUAUUCUGUAGCAAGGUUAACCGUAUAGGGGAGCCGCAGGGAAACCGAGUCUUAACUGGGCGUUAAGUUGCAGGGUAUAGACCCGAAACCCGGUGAUCUAGCCAUGGGCAGGUUGAAGGUUGGGUAACACUAACUGGAGGACCGAACCGACUAAUGUUGAAAAAUUAGCGGAUGACUUGUGGCUGGGGGUGAAAGGCCAAUCAAACCGGGAGAUAGCUGGUUCUCCCCGAAAGCUAUUUAGGUAGCGCCUCGUGAACUCAUCUUCGGGGGUAGAGCACUGUUUCGGCUAGGGGGUCAUCCCGACUUACCAACCCGAUGCAAACUACGAAUACCGAAGAAUGUUAUCACGGGAGACACACGGCGGGUGCUAACGUCCGUCGUGAAGAGGGAAACAACCCAGACCGCCAGCUAAGGUCCCAAAGUCAUGGUUAAGUGGGAAACGAUGUGGGAAGGCACAGACAGCCAGGAUGUUGGCUUAGAAGCAGCCAUCAUUUAAAGAAAGCGUAAUAGCUCACUGGUCGAGUCGGCCUGCGCGGAAGAUGUAACGGGGCUAAACCAUGCACCGAAGCUGCGGCAGCGACACUAUGUGUUGUUGGGUAGGGGAGCGUUCUGUAAGCCUGCGAAGGUGACCUGUGAGGGUUGCUGGAGGUAUCAGAAGUGCGAAUGCUGACAUAAGUAACGAUAAAGCGGGUGAAAAGCCCGCUCGCCGGAAGACCAAGGGUUCCUGUCCAACGUUAAUCGGGGCAGGGUGAGUCGACCCCUAAGGCGAGGCCGAAAGGCGUAGUCGAUGGGAAACAGGUUAAUAUUCCUGUACUUGGUGUUACUGCGAAGGGGGGACGGAGAAGGCUAUGUUAGCCGGGCGACGGUUGUCCCGGUUUAAGCAUGUAGGCUGGUUAUCCAGGCAAAUCCGGAUAAUCAAGGCUGAGGUGUGAUGACGAGGCACUACGGUGCUGAAGUAACAAAUGCCCUGCUUCCAGGAAAAGCCUCUAAGCAUCAGGUAACAUCAAAUCGUACCCCAAACCGACACAGGUGGUCAGGUAGAGAAUACCAAGGCGCUUGAGAGAACUCGGGUGAAGGAACUAGGCAAAAUGGUGCCGUAACUUCGGGAGAAGGCACGCUGGUGUGUAGGUGAAGCCCCUGCGGGUGGAGCUGAGACCAGUCGAAGAUACCAGCUGGCUGCAACUGUUUAUUAAAAACACAGCACUGUGCAAACACGAAAGUGGACGUAUACGGUGUGACGCCUGCCCGGUGCCGGAAGGUUAAUUGAUGGGGUUAUCCGUAAGGAGAAGCUCUUGAUCGAAGCCCCGGUAAACGGCGGCCGUAACUAUAACGGUCCUAAGGUAGCGAAAUUCCUUGUCGGGUAAGUUCCGACCUGCACGAAUGGCGUAAUGAUGGCCAGGCUGUCUCCACCCGAGACUCAGUGAAAUUGAACUCGCUGUGAAGAUGCAGUGUACCCGCGGCAAGACGGAAAGACCCCGUGAACCUUUACUAUAGCUUGACACUGAACAUUGAGCCUUGAUGUGUAGGAUAGGUGGGAGGCUUUGAAGCGUGGACGCCAGUCUGCGUGGAGCCAACCUUGAAAUACCACCCUUUAAUGUUUGAUGUUCUAACGUUGGCCCCUGACCGGGGUUGCGGACAGUGUCUGGUGGGUAGUUUGACUGGGGCGGUCUCCUCCCAAAGCGUAACGGAGGAGCACGAAGGUUAGCUAAUCCUGGUCGGACAUCAGGAGGUUAGUGCAAUGGCAUAAGCUAGCUUGACUGCGAGCGUGACGGCGCGAGCAGGUGCGAAAGCAGGUCAUAGUGAUCCGGUGGUUCUGAAUGGAAGGGCCAUCGCUCAACGGAUAAAAGGUACUCCGGGGAUAACAGGCUGAUACCGCCCAAGAGUUCAUAUCGACGGCGGUGUUUGGCACCUCGAUGUCGGCUCAUCACAUCCUGGGGCUGAAGUAGGUCCCAAGGGUAUGGCUGUUCGCCAUUUAAAGUGGUACGCGAGCUGGGUUUAGAACGUCGUGAGACAGUUCGGUCCCUAUCUGCCGUGGGCGCUGGAGAAUUGAGGGGGGCUGCUCCUAGUACGAGAGGACCGGAGUGGACGCAUCACUGGUGUUCGGGUUGUCAUGCCAAUGGCACUGCCCGGUAGCUAAAUGCGGAAGAGAUAAGUGCUGAAAGCAUCUAAGCACGAAACUUGCCCCGAGAUGAGUUCUCCCUGAGACUUUAAGUCUCCUGAAGGAACGUUAAAGACGAUGACGUUGAUAGGCCGGGUGUGUAAGCGCAGCGAUGCGUUGAGCUAACCGGUACUAAUGAACCGUGAGGCUUAACCUU